AUGGAGUCGGCGGAGGCGGGAGGCGGCAUCGCCGCCACGAGGAGCGGCCUGGCUGCCGUGCAGGCCGCCAAGGACGCCGCCGCAGCGAGCAUGCUGUGUGAUGAACAUGUCGGAGAUACUGCUCAGCCACCAUCAGCACAAGCAGUACAAGAACUUGUUGAUUCAUUCUCAGAGCAACAGCUUGAUGCUACAGAAAUACAAGAAUCAAUGCAUGGUGGGAUCGGGAAACAAGCAAAGAACAACACAAUCUUUAGUCCCAAGCGAGUUGGAGGCGGAUCGUACAGGGAGAUGUUGGCGAACGAGGAAAGGUUCAUGGCUACAUGCCGUUCUUCCUGGGAACAUCUUUGGAGCCGCACAUGUGGUUCUUUGGAAAACUACACGUUUAUGACUCCCAUACUUUAUACAUACGGAACCAUCCCAGCACAUGUUGGUCCCUGCGCUUUCUUGCAGAUCUUCUCCAUCCAAGUCAUGGAGAAUGAAGAGUGGAAAAUCAGGUGGCCAGUGGAGGUAUAUGGCUUCAUUGCCGCUCGAGACACCGUGGAUCACAAUCGCAACCUUCUGUUCAGCCGUACAAGGGAUGACCCCCAAAUUCUCACUCAACAGGAUUCAUUUUGA
rnacentral:rRNA from 1 species